AACGAACGCUGGCGGCAUGCCUAACACAUGCAAGUCGAACGAGACCUUCGGGUCUAGUGGCGCACGGGUGCGUAACGCGUGGGAACCUGCCCUUAGGUUCGGCAUAACUCCCCGAAAGGGGUGCUAAUACCGGAUCAUGUCUUCGGACCAAAGAUUUAUCGCCUUUGGAUGGGCCCGCGUUGGAUUAGCUAGUUGGUAGGGUAAAAGCCUACCAAGGCGACGAUCCAUAGCUGGUCUGAGAGGAUGAUCAGCCACACUGGGACUGAGACACGGCCCAGACUCCUACGGGAGGCAGCAGUGGGGAAUAUUGGAAAAUGGGCGAAAGCCUGAACCAGCAAUGACGCGUGAGUGAUGAAGGCCUUAGGGUUGUAAAGCUCUUUUACCCGGGAUGAUAAUGACAGUACCGGGAGAAUAAGCUCCGGCUAACUCCGUG
rnacentral:rRNA from 1 species